AGUGAACGCUGGCGGUAGGCCUAACACACGCAAGUCGAACGGCAGCACAGUAAGAGCUUGCUCUUACGGGUGGCGAGUGGCGGACGGGUGAGGAAUACAUCGGAAUCUACUUUUUCGUGGGGGAUAACGUAGGGAAACUUACGCUAAUACCGCAUACGACCUACGGGUGAAAGCAGGGGAUCUUCGGACCUUGCGCGAUUGAAUGAGCCGAUGUCGGAUUAGCUAGUUGGCGGGGUAAAGGCCCACCAAGGCGACGAUCCGUAGCUGGGCUGAGAGGAUGAUCAGCCCCACUGGAACUGAGACGCGGUCCAGACCACUACGGGAGGGAGCAGUGGGGAAUAGUAUACAAUGGGCGCAAGCCUGACCCAGACAUGCCGCGUGGGUGAAGAAGGCCCGCGGGUUGUAAAGCCCUUCUGUUGGGAAAGAAAAGCAGCGGGUUAAAACCCCGCGGUUCUGACGGUACCGAAUGAAUAAGCACCGGCUAACUUCGUG
rnacentral:rRNA from 1 species